rnacentral:lncRNA from 1 species
UGCAUGGUAUAUCACAACUGUAGGGAAACCAAUUGUCUUGGAGUGGUAGAUCUUUAUAAGAAUCUCUGGCUGGAGGACGAGGCUGGUUUAAAGGGGGCCAAGACUAGAGACGGGGGACAAUUAGGAGAUGCAGCUUUGUAAAGACACUGACCUUCCAUCAGUAGGACACUGGGAGUUCCAUGUCUAAGGAGGGUGAGAGAUCCACACUGUUGACACUUCCUCCCUGCAUCUCCCAGUGACCAACACAACCCAUUAUGAGAGCUGGCCAAGCUUAGCAACAUCAUCACAUCAGGAGGAAAGAUGGGGAAUGUCAGCAGCAUCUUAAGCAGC